CUUUAUUUGUGCAUAGUGCUCUUCAAACAGACCCAGAGGCCGUGGGGUCUUCAAAAGGACGACAGCUACGCUUUCUUGCUAAUGUUGAUCCUGUUGAUGUUGCUCGUAACAUAACUGGGUUGAAUCCGGAAACUACAUUGGUUGUGGUGGUUUCAAAAACGUUUACCACAGCCGAAACUAUGUUGAAUGCUCGAACAUUGAGGGAGUGGAUUUCAGCUGCUCUUGGGACACAGGCAGUUGCAAAGCAUAUGGUGGCGGUCAGCACGAAUCUAACGCUUGUUGAGAAGUUCGGG
rnacentral:misc_RNA from 1 species